rnacentral:rRNA from 1 species
GAGUCGAGUUAUUUGGGACUAUAGCUCUAAUAGUUUGGUUGGUGGUAAUGACACAUCAAAGGCUAAAUAUUGGUUAGUCGAUGCAUUUUACGGAGACCGAUAGCAUACAAGUACCGUAAGGGAACGAUGAAAAGCACCCUAUUAAGUUCACGGUGUCGGCCGCGUACAAUUCGUUGUACAACGCCGCGCCCAACAACUACAGUGGGAGUGAAAGAGAGAGUGAAAUCGCCUAUACAUAUAAUAUAUACUACGCGGCGUAUACACACACACACACAUAUACCCCCUCGUAUUAUAAGUCUGCGUUAGUACAAUCGGACAGAGUGUCGUAUUAUAGCCGCCUAAUAUACAGUUUCUAAUUGUAUAUUAUGGCUCGGCUCAUAGCGCGCUUCGGCCGCUAUACGCGACACAACUGUACGACCCGUUUUGAAACACGGACCAAGGAGUUCAACUGGAUUACGAGUCGUCGAGUGUAUUUAUUUAUACUCACACGGCAAAGCGAAAGCAAUCUUAAUCCUGUGCUAGGUUGGCGCCUUUGUGCGCUAACCGCAGCACGCGCUGAGUAAGUAUACGCGUGAAACCUUACAAGGUGACGCGCGUACCUUAGAGAGUCAAAUCGCUAAGGAUUACUCAAGCGUUCAACGAGUAUAUCUUGUUGAGACCCGAAAGAUGGUGAACUAUGCUCGGAUAUGGCGAAGUCAGGUGAAAACUUGAUGGAAGCUUGCGUUGUGCGGAACUGACGUGCAAAUCGUUACCGCCUAACCUGAGUAUAGGGGCGAAAGACUCAACGAACCAUCUAGUAGCUGGUUCCCUCCGAAGUUUCCCUCAGGAUAGC